UACGUAGGUGGCAAGCGAUACUCGGAAUCACUAGGCGUAAAGCGCAGGUAGGCGGUUUGGUAAGUCUUUUGUGAAAGCUCCCGGCUUAACUGGGAGAGGUCAAGGGAAACUACCGGACUAGAGUGUGGUAGGGGAUACUGGAAUUCCUGGUGUAGCGGUGAAAUGCGUAGAUAUCAGGAGGAACACCAGCGGCGAAGGCGGCGCUCUGGGCCGGAACUGACGCUGAGGAGCGAAAGCGUGGGUAGCAAACAGG
rnacentral:rRNA from 1 species